GACGAACGCUGGCGGCGUGCUUAACACAUGCAAGUCGAGCGGUAAGGCCCUUUCGGGGGUACACGAGCGGCGAACGGGUGAGUAACACGUGGGUGACCUGCCCUCAGCUCUGGGAUAAGCCCGGGAAACUGGGUCUAAUACCGGAUAUGACUCCAUGACGCAUGUUGUGGGGUGGAAAGCCUUGUGCGGCUGAGGAUGGGCCCGCGGCCUAUCAGCUUGUUGGUGGGGUGAUGGCCACCAAGGCGACGACGGGUAGCCGGCCUGAGAGGGCGACCGGCCACACUGGGGACUGAGAUACGGCCCAGACUCCUACGGGAGGCAGCAGUGGGGAAUCUUGCGCAAUGGGCGAAAGCCUGACGCAGCGACGCCGCGUGAGGGAUGACGGCCUCGG
rnacentral:rRNA from 1 species